CAGAUAAAUACUUCAGAAAAUUACAAAUGAGGCCCAGUCAACGUGAAAGUAAACAGCAUUGGUGCUACUGUAGAUGCCAACAGACUACCAGCAAACACAAUGUUUGCAGGACUUCUACAACUAGGAUAAAGUGACAUAGUCCAGGACCCGAGGUCAACAGUUUAGCAGCACUACAACACGCAGCAGGUCCUGUUUGACAAGAAACACUUUUGUUACAGACACUUGGCUUACUUUGUUAAAGCGGUUGGCGAUCGUGGCUAAAGGAAGAUUUUCUGUACUUUCUGAUUGGUUUCUACUGAUAUUGUAGCACGUUAACUUUGUUUGGGCUCGUGAACGACACGGGGGAGCAGCAUCUGCCUAACAACCAAUCAGCACAAAGGAGCAGCAUCCACCUCACAACCAAUCUGGCUGGGGGAGGUGGGUAAAGGCUUUGUUUACCGUUAGAAAGAGCGGGCCGCUCAAAAAUUUAAAAAUGUUGACUACACAGACAUAACAAAACACAGCGAUAUUAUUGUAUUCCCAAAUUUCAUCAAUAACUAAUAGCUAUUGACUGAUAUUAAAGCUUUUUUGUAUACACCACAAAAAAGACGCUUCUUUAACAAAAUCCUGCCUACCCCACCUUUUAAUGCUUUUGGUGCCUGCGUCAAGUGGCCACUCAAGGAACUGCACGUGGUUAGUCAGUAAGCCUGCUAGUCUGAGGGGGUCAGAGUGUACGCACUAUAGUAGACCAGUAAAAGUAGACUGCACCCUGUUUUUCCCCAGUGUUUGUGUUCAUACACUUUAUGUUGUAAAGUCAGAAAAGAGUUAUCUGGAGAUUGAUGAGUUUAAUUUUUACAGUUCUCCUAAAGGACCAAAUGGAACCUGGAAAAAAAAAUGUUUUUGCUUUCAGUGUGAUGAUAACAUGCUUUUUUUUGGUUCAGGGACUUCUGAAUCAGAGCCAGACUCCCUUAAUAAUAACACAGUUUUAUAAGCUGUGCAACUUUGAUAAACAUCGUAAAAUGCCGUACAUAGCAAUUAUCAGUUGUUUGCUCCUCUCUUGUGAAUUUGGCAUAUGUUCAAGUGUUUUUAAGUGCACACGUAUUAGGAUAAUUACAGGAAACUCUCCGACUCUGGUGCUAGUUUUGUCCUGUUUUGAUUCCCUUAUCCUAACAGAAGUAUUAAUUAUCUUUUCUGAAACUGGCUGGGAAAUGCAGUGGAGUCCUCACAGUCAGAGGGUUCAAAGGAGUUCAAGUCUGCACUUAUUUAUAACUCGAAUCAAGCUGAACUCAGAUUACUCAGACAGUUUCACUUAUGUAAAACGGCUUAGUGAUGUCAGGGUGUUUGUAUCUUCUUUAUUAAUUUUAUUCUAUUUUUUAAGCUCCACACCACCCAUCCCCAACUCAUCUACACUUCAUCAGGAUUAGCCAAUGAUCCUGAUAUUAAAGCCGGGUUCUCACACUGAGACAGGAGGUCUUCUAAUCUGUCCAAUCAAAUUCUCUUCCUAAUGAGAAUGACAAAAACAUGAGUGUUUAACGAGUUAUUAUGGGAGCAUGUAAACAGAGAGAUGACUGUGUGUCCUCCUGUGUGACGAGUGGGAGAGAAACCACAGUUUUCCUUUUUGUCCAAAUAAUGGAAAAAGGGAUUUGCCCUGUUCUGGGUGCAGAAAAAGAGCAGUGUAUGUGUGUGUGUGUGUGUGCUCAGUUGUUCUGUGAAGCAUACACAGUGGAAACGACAAGGUGUAAAGAUGUGCACACACACACACACACACACACGCAAGCACACAAGCACAAACAGACAGGUCAGUCUGUGUUUGGUCUGCUGAAACAGGGGAGAGAACAGCUUGUCCAGUGUGUGUGUGUACAUGUAUGUGUGUGUGUUUGUGUUAGUGAGCCAGAUCUGGGAGUCCUCUCCUCUUAACCUUUCCACUACAGGUUCUACUUUUGGUCCAGGCCGUGCUAAGCGCCUGGGAUAAUGUUCUGCUCUUUUAAUUGUGCUUUUAGUGAGAUGUGUGAAGGUCUUUUGAUACUGCCAUUGCGCUUAUGAAAGUCAGUUCUUUUCUCCUGUCAAUGCCCUAUUGUACCUCCCCCUCUCAGAAGAACAGAGUGUUGUGGUCUGGGAGACUGUGCUGAAAUUCAUAUUGCAAUAUGAAAAAAAAAUAUGUCAUGGCUGAUUAAAUCUGUUUCCUCCUGUGAGAACUUUAUGUACAGUAAAUCAGCUGCCGACUGAUGAGACAAAUACUGAGGACGAUCUGUCCUUGAUUGAUGUAGGUAAACAAAUUCUCAGGCAUGAGCGCAUAAUGUAAUGUUCCUCUUUUUAUCAUGCUUUAGUGGUUAAAUAAUAUCAGAGCACGGCUGUUAAACUGUGAAUUUCUUUAACUAUACUGACAAUGUAAAGCAGCUCUUGAGAACCAAAAGACUGCAGUUUCGUGUAGAUUUUGAGCAUGACUAAGAUUUAUUAUUCACAGCUGCACCAGUGUGUUCUGACACCAUGACUCACUGUAAAGGUAGAAAACAGCUUCAAAGUGCAUACUAGGGCCUGACUGAUAUGGAUUUUUUGGGGCCGAUGCAGAUACCGAUUAUUGGGGGGGGGGGGGGGGGGAUCUAAUUACGAUUAAUCAGACGAUUUUUAAAAAAAUUUAUGAAUUUAUAAAAAAUCAUAGCUACUGCUCCUCACGCCGACAGGAAGACCGACUGAUCAAACUCGGACCAGAAAAGCGUUUUCAACUCCCCUCCCCGACGAUCGGUGCCUCCGCAUCUUAACUCACGUUACUCAUUUCCGGUCUCAUCUGGAGACAUGCAGCUGCCUCAGUAAGAGAGGUAGCUCGAUCAAUGUGUACUGUUGUUUAUUCUACCGUUACUCGCAUGGCUAACAGUGUAGCAAGGCUAAUAGCAGAUGGCUAACCCUAACUUUAGCUUGCAUAUUACAUGGCGCUUCACUCGGCGAGACCGAGAACAGCACAGUGGGGAACAUCGUGAAGUGGGUUGAACUGAAACUUGUUGACUUAUUGUGUAUUUCACAAACUAGUUUAUUUACCGUCGAGGCGGACCACUCUACUCCGUGUGUCCCUGCUUCAGAUCCGUCACUCUGCUGUGCUGUGCAAUUAGUCUCAAACGGGCUAAAAUUGGCUGAUUUAAUCGCUCGCCGAAAAAACAGUCAUGUUUACAAAGUGUUGUUAUAAAGGGCUUGAUAAAUAAUGAACAUUUACAUUUACAGUUACAUUUAUUCAAAAUAAGAAAAACUGAAAUUAUUUAUGUAACAAGGUGAAAAUAAACAGUUUUAACAAACUUCAUCAAUUUCUAUUCAUAUCAUAUUUUCUUGCCCUCCACUAGACCACACCAGUAAUGGAAAAAAUAUGAUAGUCAUGCGAACUCCUACUUAAAUUGGAUGGAAAAAUUCCUGGAAUAAAAUCUAGUUCUCUGUAAAACCUAAAAAACAUUUAUUAAGCUUUUGUCACGGGCAGGCCAAGUAAAGUGUACAUAAUCAUCUUAGCUUUAAUCAAGAAUAUGCAUACGGCCUCUGAUACUGGUUAAAUAUUUUAUUAAAGCAGCUGUCUGGUCAGCAGGUGUAAAAUAAAUAUCAAACACCCUGUAAUGCAGAUCUGUACUGGGGCAGGUGUGUUCUUGUCUCCAGCUGCACUGAGGGAGAACACAUCUUGGAUAACUCCCAGCUGCUGCUUCUGCGGCUGGCAGAAACUGCAUGUUCGAGGCUAUCUGUUUCCUGUGGAUGUUCCAGUCGCCGCAAUGUCUCACUUAGUCCUUGUUUGAGUAAUAACACCGCUAAAAUGUUGUGUACCUGCUCAUAUAAAAAGCUGGGACGGUUACGCGAUGUGAGUGGGAUGACAGAGUCUCGCAGUGGAUGCCAGAACUUCUGAUAGCUUUUUGACAAAUUUACAGCCUGUCUAAAAAUAAUUUAAAAAAUAAAACACUGGUGCGAAUGAUCAGCAGAAUUUCUGUUUGGACGCAGGAGGUAGAAAGUCGUCCAGGGCAAUUAAUUCACACUCAAAUUAGAGGGAAAACAUGUUCAAAUGAUGGUUUAAGUGCUCACAUGAUCUAAAAACACAGUUUGUGACCACGCAUAUCAUUAUGAUAAUUAACACGAGAUCUCAUUACAUGUAUAGCGCAUAAUUACCUCUCAUCAUGAACGCAGGCCACUUCAUUAAAGACAUGGUACAUCUUGUACGUACAGAAAAGACCACCUUUGCCGUCCCUGCACGCAACCUGUCAAGGCUAUUGUGAGUGAUAUUUGUUCUGUUUUCUACAUUAAUACCAUGAAUAUGAAUGAAUUUCACAAUAUGUACGCGUCCUCGCCAAUUUUAAGCUCAGGUAUAUUGAGAAUACUUUGUGUGCAGGUGUAAUUGCUUGAUUUUAGGCCUUUGUUUAAGCUGUUGAUGCACUUCUGGUGCCUUGAAAGUUAUUAAUAAAAAGGAAUUUAUGAAAUGGUGAAUACCUGAAGUUCAAACUUUUAAAUCAAAUUGUUUGUUCAAGCUUUCUGUGAAGAGGUGAAACAGAAUCAGAAAAAGAAAACCGCCCCUGAAAGGAUCUGUUAUUCCUAUUUCUGACUGAGAUCACGGCUGCAGGGUCGGCGUGGGGUGAGUUUAUUAGAAACCGCUUUUCAGAACAUUUUGAACCGCAAUGUUCCUGAUGAGUGAUACACGGCUGUUAAAAUUAAGGAGGACAUAUUGUUAUUAAAAAAUUCUCUUACACACAAAAAAGGGCUUUAAUUAUUACGUCUCACAAUCAUAAUGGUAGAGACUGCUAUGUCAAGUGUUAAAUGCCAGCAGAUCUCAAAGUGGAAAUAAAAAAAAAAAAUCAACAUCUUUUGGACCUGGGAGUCCAGGACACAUAAUCUACUCUUAAAACUUUGCCGCCCCCCAAGACUCCUGGUGUUUUUCCAGAAUGUGACUGAUGGUAAAAUGCCAUCCACAGUCUAUGAUGUGAUUGUUUACACCCGUGGUGUCAGGCUUGGUGAAAACUGACUGCUGCGCUGCUUACUAAACUCUAAUGGGGCACUCACACCUAGCAUGAGUAAAAUCAUCUACUCGCUUAAUUCGUGCAAAUCUAGACGCAUGAAUGAAAAUUAUUUACUCGCUUCAUUCGCACGUUUAUAGGCGUUUUUAUAGCCAUCUAAUUUCAACGGUAAUCCCUGCCAGUUCAACAGGUGAUAGACAAAGGUUUAUUACAAUUUACCAGGUAAUCCGACCUCCUCACUCAUUUGCCUCCAUGCGAGCGUCACCCGGCAACCUUUGUGCUGAUUAGUUAUUGCGACGGGAAUAUCCGCUCAAGUUGAGACAUUUUCAGCUCUCGCCUAAUUCUCGUCAUUCGCACUGCCAGAGUAGUAAGAGCGUUUAAUCGCGUCACAUGUAAUUUAUUCGCGCAAAUGGUUUUACUUGUGCUUGGUGUGUGUGGAGGCUCAUCAGCCUCAUCUGUAAAAUUUACUAAUACACGGUUGGUGGUUGAUCGGACAAACACGCUCCUUCUAUGUGAUCCAAUUGUGGCUCAUUUUUUAACACUGCUGAUAUGCAAUUCGGUAGCCAAGUGUCGCCAGAUCCACCAGGCCAGUAGUGUUGUCUACUUGGAGUUGAAUUGGGGUUAAGUUCUUCAAGAUACCGAUGCAGACGCACCACGCUAGCCUUUUCACUUGUGCUUCUUUUUGUUGUAUGAACCCUCUUUUGUCCAUUUUUGUAGUAAAACCUUCAACUUUUUAUCUAUUCCAGAAACAUUUGAAGGUCCACAUUGUAGCUGCUGUAAAUAUUUUAUUUUUCAUGAAACAUUUUCCCGAAUGGAAUCACCAAUCGUAAGAGGACUGUAUUUACAUGGCACGUUGCUGUAGAGCAGAAACAUGUUUCUCUUGAUCUCAUCUGUUUUUGUGUCGGAUUAAUCAGUGCUAUUGAUGCCUCUUAUGCUUUCAGGCAUUUCACAAAUGAGAAGUAUUUGGAAAAGCUCAAGGCUGAGUCUCAUGCGAUCGAGAAGUUAUGUAAGGAACGUAGGGGUCUCGAGGUUCCUAGAAAGUAAUGGUUUUAGAAAUAAAAACUGUUUGCCUUUCAGCACUUUACUUUUCUCCCAACCAUUUCCUGCUUCACACAUGUCAGCGUCCAUCUUUUUAAACACUCACAUUCAUGCUGCUUUGCAAAGUGCCCAGCUGCAAAUUAGUCCCAAUCUUGAAUGAAUCACUCACAGUCAUGCUGUCAGGAGUAAUUUGAGGGUCAGACCUCUGGGUUUUGGACACUUUAAAAUACAAUCUACACAUAAUCCAUUGAUUCUGUUUAAUGAAACUUAGCUAUUUCUUAUGGAGACAUGCAGAAGACCAAGCUUUGAAUGCAUCCCUCCUCCUCAGCAGUGUACAGACAGUCCCUGGCAGUAGUUUCCACUCAGGGUCAGACACAGGCUGUAAUAACUGUGAGAGCUCAUCUACCAAGGGCACAUACAGUAAUAUACAGCACAGUGUGUGAUGAUACUUUAUGCCUCUGGAUGGACGGGUACAGUAUGUACAUAAGCUGAUCUCUCGAGAGAUAUUAGAAACACAUACACCAACAAUGGGUCCUGACUUGCGUGGCAGACGUUCAAAGUAAAAAUGUUUUCCUCAUGUCCGAUGGGAAGGUUAUUUGAUUUAGUAGCACAAUAUCACAGUGGGGGCCGGUAUUGCGGUGAAUAGUUAUGUAAUGUUCUUUUCACUUUAUCAGUAAUAACAAGCCAAAAAAAAAAAAGCACCAUAGACGCCACUCUAUUUAUCUUCAAAGCCUGCAAGAAAAUCCACAAAAAAUUGAAGCCAUGCUAAUCACAUCUGAGCGUAUCAUCAAAAGCGCUCCCUGUCAAUCUCCCUGCAUGUAAUCCUCAAAUGUGCUUUUUUUUCCCGCCGUUUCUAAGCAACACAAACCACCUGUUGCCACUGUGACACAAAAAUGCUGAGUGUAGCCUCUGCCAUCUCCUCUCUGGUUAGAUUACACAACAGCAGACACAUUAUAAUGGAGUAACAGAUGUCAUUUAACCGCACAAUUCGAGAGCAGGGUCCAGAGUGGAUGUGGGAGGCCAGUUCCAGUCGGUUUGUGCUGUGUGUGCUUCAUAUUCAUAACAAUAAAAUCAGCCAUAUGUCUGCGCAUACAUACGGACGCGUGGAAAAGGUGUCAACAAGUUGGCCACACUCGAGUCACCGAGGGAGCACUGUUGGUUAAUUCAGAAUUCACCAUCUGUUACUGUCUGCAUACGUCUCAGAGUGGAAACACUGAGUCGGUUUGAGGGAGAAAAGCUUUAAAUCAGUUUUUCUGGAGUGUAAGAAACAAACUGUGUUAAUAAAGGGACUGAGACCAGAAUAUCCGAGCCUCCUCGGCUAACGUUUGGAUUGUGAAGUCCGACUCAAGUCUGGAUUUUUGGGACUAAUGCUUUGACUUGAACUCCAGCACUGAUGACUCAGACUUGUACUCAGACUGAAUGACAUAAUCAGUAAUUUUUUUCUCCUCUGCACUUUGGGGGAAUUUAAAGGUGAGACAAAGUUCAUGAUUUAAUAUCAUACAAUAAAAAAAAAAUUGAAUUUCCCCGUGUGGGAUGAUUAAAGGAAUAUCUUAUAGCACAUUUAGUGGACUUAAACAUAUGCUUUUAUUUCUUCAUGACAUUUUAAAACCAGCUCACCACAGUCAGGUGCAAAUAAAAGAUGCCGCCUUUCGUAAUCAUGAUGACGUGAGUCCGUAAAAUUGACAUUUCAUGACACUAAUUUUGCAAAAGCCUUUAAAAAAUACACAGAAUGAUCUGACUUCUGUGUACCCUCUCAUCUGGAGUCUGGAGUUGAAAAGCCACAACUUUGAAGCUCAAACAGGUUCUUACCUAAAAAGAAGAUCUUAAAAUCGGUUGACGAUACGUCCUCUUUUACCCGAACAUGUCCUCUCUUUUGGGGUUUUUCCGGGGAAGUUUAAAAAUCGUUCAAAUGUCCGCAGUUUUGUAUGCAAGUUUCAAGUUUGCGCAUAAAAAACACUCGAUCCAACCCAAAAAAACUCUCAAAAUUAACUUCGUGCAAGUUUGGGACUCAGCCCCCACGUAGUUGUGUCCUCCUUUUGGGAAGUCAGAAUAUGAUCACCCUAUUUAAAAGAACUUUUUAAACCCCCUUAUUACAUUUCCUAAAUGGUGAGAUUGUUGUGCAAGUACCGUACAUGUCAUAUUUGAUAUCUUUGCAAAGCGGAAAGUGGUGUUCAGGCUUAUUGGUAACAUAGGCUGAAUUUGUUUGCUUAGAUUAUGUAAUUCCUGUUGCACAUCUGAAAUAUAAGUUGCAGAGUUGUACUGUGUUUCCUUUCAAGGACAUUUUUCCAACAUAAUGAAAAUAGCAUGACAGAUAAUAUUCAAUUUAUGAUGUAAUUCCUCACAGAGGAUAUUAGAUUUCUUUUGUGAGUGAAUGUACAUAUUCAUAUUGCAUUUCAUCCCUUGAGAUGCGGUAAUUGUUAAUGUGGGAGAUACAAAUGUCGUGUUCAAGUGAGAUAGAAGGCCGCUUUGCCUCUCGCUAUUCAGCUCCUGACCUCUGCGAUAGACAACAAACUUGAACAGUUGUUUAAGUUUUCUCCUUGUGUAAAUGAAUGAAUGCAGAAAAACACCUUAAUUGGCAGCAUUUAAGCAGGAUACUCUGACGUACAGAUGCAGAAGACUUCCUCAUCCUCCCAGCAACAACCGAUUGCUUUUCUUCUUUUUACCGUUUACCCACAGCUUACACACAGAACAGGCAGGAGUUGUACAGUGUUACUGGGUUUUUGUCAUGCCCAGAUGUUUUUAUGAUCUCCUCUAGGGGGUCAAAAGUUUGCUACAGGGGGUGUAAACAUAAUACAGACAUGGCUUCAACAUGCAACUCAGAUUUGAAGAACAGAGUGGCAUCAAUAGCAUGCUCUUGGACCCAUAAAGCAAAGAUCCAAUAUCUUUGAUAUUGAGGGUUUAAAAUCAUUACGACUACAUGAGUAAUCUUGGAACUCAUCAGCAGUCAUCAUCUGACGUCAAGGAGAUAUAUAUGCCUCUGAGAACUUUUUAGAAAUGACAGUGUAGGCAGAAAUUAUGAAACAACUUCCAGGCAGGACUUUUCUGCACAGGGUGUGAGUCCACAAUGCAAAUGCAGUCAUUUCUUAAAUUACUGCAUCCUGAAGACAGAGCCCACACUUCUGUUUCAAGCACUGAAAAGUUCAACAGACACUUCAGAAAAGGAAGUUACUUCCUCUGGAUUUACUGACAAUUCAUGGGUCGUCAAUUUGACAAAAUACCAUCAUCAUGAUAUAGGUUUAUAGACCAUAGAAAUGCAAACUUUGCUCUUAAGGGGAAAAAUCAAAUCUUUGAUUGUGUUUGUUGAAUGGACGUCGGAUCGAUUGUUUCUGAGUCAGGAGAAGUCGCAGCUCAUGGGCUUUUCCAUCACUGCAUUGACAAGAUUUGUGCCUCAGGUUAAGACUUUUGAUCCAAGGCAGCGUUUGAGCUGCACUUGCAUUAAGAUAUCGGAGGUUAAUAGAAGUUAAUUAAAGCUACAAGCGGCGAUGAAUGGGACCUCUCACCUUUGCACAUGUCGUGGCCUGUAGUAGCAGACUUCGGUUGUGCAGCAGAUUGUGUCUGUGCUGCAUCUGUGAAUUUACAAACAGGUCUGUAGAUCUGUUUGGGUUCGAGACGGUUUCAAUAUUUAAUGCAUAGCCCAAAAAAUGCAGCGAGGUGGCUGCAUGUGUCGGAGCUGGGCAUGAUGCUACACCUGAGUUGACAGUGUUACAGUUAACAAGUCGGAAAACCAAGAUGGACGCCUACAGUUACCAGUUGUUAGCUGUUGUUUACAAUUGUCAGCUGUUGUUGGUCGUUUUCAGCAGUUGUUAGUUGUUGUUAGCGAUACCAGUUGUAAAUAAUGCAUAACACAGUAUUUUACUCUACUAACACCGUAGCACCGUGCUCACAGUUAGACGUUGGGCAGUACAACAUAUACCACUUAUUUAAUUUCACAAAAACAAAACAGAUGUGCUAAUAAAUAAGACAUUACGAGAACUUUUACUGUUACUCUUUCCGGUUGAUGCACUGCGCUGCCAUCUUGAAUUAUGACGUUGUCAUCAAGUCGGGGUUGGCAAGGAUCGUCCAACUUUCCAAGUUGGAAAUCCGACUUCAGGGGGGCGUUCCAGAUGAAUCUCCGACUCGGAACUCGGAAAUCUCAACUUCCAAGGACAACUAGAAUGCAGCAUAAAGCCCGCUGAUAGAUGAUUGUCCAAUACAUCUUGAGAUACAAAAGAAACCAGGACACAAUAUCCUGUAAGAAACAGAGACAAUACGGUGAUGCAAACAGAGUUUAUAAGUGUGUGUUUGGGAUUUCACAUACUGCAAGAAUAACUGUGCUGUUUCUCCUUGUGCUGUCUGGAUUCGAGAACUUUCAAGGCUCUGUAGUUUGAGGCUGGCCUCAGGAAGCCAGGUUCCUUGAGGUCAGAGAAACACUGAGUGCACAUGGAGGAUGUUGAUCACUACAAUGCUCAAUAAACAUGGCUGGUCAAAAAAAGAUACGGAGGGUAGUGUAAAGCUGCCAUGACGCAGAGUGAAACUGAGACGGCUCAUGAGUUCAGCUGAGAGCUCAGGUAAGAGAGUGCACGGAGGUUCACUAUUUGCAUUUAUGAAGUAGUUCCAUAUGGACGUAUGUGUGUGUGUUUGCAUGCCGCGUACAUCGGCUGUGCAUAUUUGUAUCCGUCCACUUGUCCAUCCUCUCUUAUAACUGGACAUUCGGUUCAUCUCUGAAGUCGUGGUGAACUCUGAGCCCCUGAUGCACUCUGAGCAGCUGGACCAAUUAUACAUAAUUAGCGAGGUGCAGCGGCUAGGCUAACAUAGAACCAGUAUUGACCCAGCCUGUCAUUUAGUGAGCACAAUGUGUGCUCCUGCAGCUGGUAAUGACUAUUCGGUGCCCUGGAAAUCCAGCUGGGCAGAUUGUGGGACAUGACCUUGUGUUCUCUCAUGUCAACUGGUAUAUGGGACCUACACACAUUACAACUGGGCACAGAAGGAACAGGAACAUGGCAGGAAAUCUUAUUUUGAGGCCUUCCAGGUAGAACUUUGUAUAAUUAUAUCCCUCUGAAUCUAUCCUGGCACCAUACUUUCUCGCUACUCCUGUGUUGUGUUAAUGCGUGCUCUCUUACUUGUGUUUACAUUGACUUGUCCUCGCAUUUAUCGCUGUGCUGGAUGAUGCAUGUGCCAGCAGAAGGGCAAAGAUACAAAACCGCCAAAGACGACCUUGUCCUUUUGGCUCAAUGCCACUUACUCCCUUCGCGUUCCUGAUUUUAACUUUUUCGUGCCUCAUGAGCAAAUUCCUCGUCUGCAGCCCAGCAGUUUGUGAUCCGUCUGAACUCAAAGAGGAGCUCCAGGAAAAGUGGUAGAACGUUCUCAUGUAUAAUUGCAGAGCAUUUAUGUGCAAUCAUAUCCAUUAAGAUUCUUUUUUGUCUAUGCCUGGGUUCACCUUAUAAGAGAGUUGUGUGGAAAUACUAGACUAUAUCUUUUUUUUUCUCACCCUGUGAACUCUGUGACUCUGUAAAAGGCCUUUGCUCUCAGUCACCCCAAUCUGGUUAAGUAGAAAGUAUUCUCUCAUGGAUGCAGUUGUUGCUUUAAAAAAUCUAAAUAGAUUCCCUCUUUGUGUUAUUCUUGCUCAUCCACCUUCACUGUCUAUUUUCUGAGUGUUGAGGAGGAUAUGAAUAUCAGGGAUCGUUGAACCCGAAUGCAGACAAAGUGUUAAAAUCAUGAACUUUGAGUUUGUGAAAAGGAUCUUUGUUCUCAGUCACUCUAGACAAGGAAGUUCUUCAAAAAAACUUUUCCCAUUAUUUCUACUUACGUAACUUGUCUGUUGGGCAAUUAGAGCCACAUUUAAGCUCCUGUGAGGGAUUUUUUAUGAGUUAUAACACAGACUGAAAACAGUAAUUAAUUAACAACUUUGAAUAUAAAUCUACUACAACUUCGUGACUGUGUUGAAAGGACGCCAUUCGCUGCAGUGGUGACUUUAGAUACGUCUUUCAGUCCCAAAGAGAGGAAAUUGUGUCAUGUCAAUCCUACAAAAGACACUUCUGUCCGUCAUAGUUGUCCAUCACAUCCAUGUCAGGAAGACAUGGAUGUUGUUAGCUAUGCCAUUUUAUUUGUCAAUGCUUGUGGCACUUUACGCGAGGGUGACCACAUUCUGAGGACACAACUACGCAGAGGUGGAGUCACGCAGUCGCAUCAAGUUAAUUUUGAGAGUUUUUCGGGUCGGAUCGAGUGUCUUUUACGCACUUCUAACUUAUUAAUUCCACGUGACACAAACUUGAAACUUCCAUACAAAACCCCAGACAAUUGAGGGAUUUUAUUAACUUAGCCAGACAAGGCCGAACAGACUGCCCCCCAGAAAAGGGGACAUGUCCGUGUAAAAAAGGAGGUAUGGUCACCCCACCUUAUGCUUUCACUGUCGUCUGACCUUGGCUUUCAAUACUUGGCAACAUACACUCACCGGCCACUUUAUUAGGUACACCUGUCCAACUGCUCGUUAACACUUAAUUUCUAAUCAGCCAAUCACAUGACGGCAACUUAGUGCAUUUAGGCAUGUAGACAUGGUCAAGACAAUCUCCUGCAGUUCAAACCGAGCAUCAGUAUGGGGAAGAAAGGUGAUUUGAGUGACUUUGAACGUGGCAUGGUUGUUGGUGCCAGAAGGGCUGGUCUGAGUAUUUCAGAAACUGCUGAUCUACUGGGGUUUUCACGCACAACCAUCUCUAGGGUUUACAGAGAAUGGUCCGAAAAAGAAAAAAUAUCCAGUGAGCGGCAGUUCUGUGGGCGGAAAUGCCUUGUUGAUGCCAGAGGUCAGAGGAGAAUGGCCAGACUGGUUCGAGCUGAUAGAAAGGCAACAGUGACUCAAAUAACCACCCGUUACAACCAAGGUAGGCAGAAGAGCUCUCUCUGAUUCCUCUGGACUGUUACUGUUACUGCAGACAUGAACAUCAGCCUCACUGUCAUUAUUGACAUACAAAAUAGAACUGACUACGAUUAAGCCUGCUAACUGUAAUCACACUCAAUUAAUUCAACAUUGUCCAUUAUUUCUCAUAUCCUAAACCUGUAAACUGAACGUCUUUUUGUUUCACCAUUACAUGAGCUGUUGUCGUUGUUGCUGUUGUUCCUGCUGCCUCCUGUCUCUCUCUCAUCACCCUCGUUCCCUACUCUCUCUCCCUCCCCCUCCCUCUCCGUACUAAUUCUCUCUCGCCUUUCCCCUAUCUUGCUGUCUCUCUCCCUCCCCCUGUCCUCUCCCCCUCUCCCCUCUUCUCUCUACAUUCCUCCCCAACCCAGCAGCGGCAUGGUGGCUGUCUAGCAUGAGUCUGGUCCUGCCCAAGGUUUCUGCCUGUUAAAAGGAAGUUUUUCCUUGCCACUGCUACUCAUGUUAGUUGAGAUGGGCCAAAACCCAUCUUAGGUUGGUUCUUGAUCAUCAAACAAUGAGCGUGGUCUCGACCUGCUCUUGUUCUUUGGAAAGCGUCUUGAGAUGACGACUGUUGUGAAUUGGCGCUAUAUAAAUAAAAUUUGAUUGAUUGAUUGAUUGAAGAGCAUCUCUGAACACACAGUACGUCGAACUUUGAGGCAGAUGGGCUACAGUAGCAGAAGACCACGCCGGGUGCCACUCCUUUCAGCUAAGAACAGGAAACUGAGGCUACAAUUUGCACAAGCUCAUCGAAAUUGGACAAUAGAAGAUUGGAAAAACGUUGCCUGGUCUGAUGAGUCUCGAUUUCUGCUGCGACAUUCGGAUGGUAGGGUCAGAAUUUGGCGUCAACAACAUGAAAGCAUGGAUCCAUCCUGCCUUGUAUCAACGGUUCAGGCUGGUGGUGGUGGUGUCAUGGUGUGGGGAAUAUUUUCUUGGCACUCUUUGGGCCCCUCGGUACCAAUUGAGCAUCGUUGCAACGCCACAGCCUACCUGAGUAUUGUUGCUGACCAUGUCCAUCCCUUUAUGACCACAAUGUACCCAACUUCUGAUGGCUACUUUCAGCAGGAUAAUGCGCCAUGUCAUAAAGCUGGAAUCAUCUCAGACUGGUUUCUUGAACAUGACAAUGAGUUCACUGUACUCAAAUGGCCUCCACAGUCACCAGAUCUCAAUCCAAUAGAGCAUCUUUGGGAUGUGGUGGAACGGGAGAUUCGCAUCAUGGAUGUGCAGCCGACAAAUCUGCGGCAACUGUGUGAUGCCAUCAUGUCAAUAUGGACCAAGCUCUCUGAGGAAUGCUUCCAGCACCUUGUUGAAUCUAUGCCACGAAGAAUUGAGGCAGUUCUGAAGGCAAAAGGGGGUCCAACCCGUUACUAGCAUGGUGUACCUAAUAAAGUGGCCGGUGAGUGUAGUUCACUUCUCCAUGUAACAUGAAUCCAUAAUGAAUCCGGUCAUGAAUGUUUAAAAUAUGCGGUUCACUAUCUGAAGACAGUAUCAAAUGUUUAUCGUCUGAUUGGAGGAAACUCGCUCGACAUCUUAUAAAACCUGGGAGAAGACAUCCACAAGAUUUUUACUCUUUAAGAAAUCAACAUCUCUUCAGUCCAAGAAGGUCACCGUGAAGUCCAAAUGUUGAGCUAUAAACCCAGUUCAGUAUCAAACAGUUCUGUUGACGUAUCUUCAAUAAAUUCGACUUCUGUAAAAUACAAGAUCUGUUUAAGUCACGCUCGUGCUCUCCUCCCCCAUCGGGUGACUUUUAUUGCUCACACGACCGUGAGGAGUUUAGUCAUCAGCACCUUUUAACUAAAAAUAGAAGACUGUUCCCCCAAGAUGGUUCACAAAUCGCUAAUGUUGCCGGAGCAGGUGUGCCUCCGUUUGUAAAGUACAGAGUAACACCAUACCUUCUUCGUCACAGACUAAUUCAAAUCUGUCCAUAAGCAAAGACUGUACAGAGAUUUUAAGACUCUGCAUGUUAUAGAUUUGUCUGAAGCCUUCGGCAGAUUUCAACAAAAGCUAUUAUUUACUCAGGAUAUUACUCGGUUGCAUAAUACACCCCUGACACAAACUGUCAAUAGAAAAUAUGAGACUUUCAUGUUCUCCAGUCACACCAAUUGAACAAACUUGGUUUACUGAAUGAUGUUUGGCAGGCACCUUACAGCAGCAGGAUGGGGUAAAGACUGGUGAUGCUGCCUCAAUGGGGGACCGGACUACAGGUGGUACGCAGGGAGCUAUAAAGGUGAGGAGACUGGCUGUGAACUGCAGGGGACAAGUUUUUGCAAGUGUGGGCCAAUUAGCUUUAGCAAAUGAGAAGCAAAGGUCUCAAGUUAGCAUGGUCUUAAAGCAGUCCCUUUGAUCGCUACGCUAUUGUACAAUAAUUGGAUGGAUCUUCAUAGAGAGAAUAUUUCAUGCUUAAUGAAAUAUGGAAAUAUUUGAGGAACCUUCAUUUAUGUUGCUCUUACCUUUUUACUUUUCUGUUCCAGUAUCUAAGUAAUGUUCCCUGAUGAAUGAUCUGACCUUUUUUUGUUGUAAUAGUCUGAUUCAUUACCUCUGCUCUGUCGAGGCAGGCUUUUAAGUACUUUAAGUGGAACAAGGUUAAUGCUGAUACUCCUUUUAUUCACUUGUCGGCGUGUGUGUUAGGAAGGUCUCAUCAGCAAAUCAGCAGUGUUAUUGCCCUAAAUUUGUCCUUAACCAGUAGCUUUGGUAACGCUUAAUCUAUGGCGAAAUAACAAGCGGCAACCUUUAAUCUUGAGGUAUAAGUUUGUUGAUGUGCAGUUCUGAGUGCUCUGUUGAGGCUGGCUGUAUAAAAACCAGAAACAUUGUAUGCAUGCCUUGUAAAAAUCAUUGCGUCUGAGGGCUCCCAUAGCACCUAAUGUACAGAGCAUGAACUUUUUUGUAACACAUUUGUCACAGACAUAGGGCCAAUUCCAAUUGUACCCCUUAGCCCUUGGUUUUGCAUGUUCAUGUCAAGCAAAGGGGCGUCCCAAUUCUCCGCAAGGCUAAGGGCAAGAGGUACACAGCCCUUGAAACAAAGACAAAUUAGGACCUCACUUGAAAGCAAGAGGUAAGAUUUUGAUAUUUUCAUUGUAAUGAUACUUGUGUUUUUAUCAGAUAUUCAAUCCUUUGCUACUCUGGGUAAAUAUUAGCAAUGUUUUGAAUUGUUUGCGUUUUAAAAUCACUCGUUAUGGCGAGCUAGCUAGUGAAGCUAUAGCUAUUGAUAACUACACUGAUGUCAGACUCGGGUGACAAAUUCACUGCAAACGGCAAGGCAUGAUGACGUAGUGGGAAUCGGGUGGCGUCGGGAAUUGGGGCACAUUUUCACGCCUUCCCUUUGGCCCUCAAAACGGAGGCAAGAAUGUGAGCGUCAUGUGGAGAUCCAUAGAUAAUGUAUUUUGGGCAUUGUUAUGAAUCACCAACAAUAACAGUAAAACAGCAAGGACAUGUAAAGGUACCAUCAGUUGGUUCCGUGCGCCAAAAAUACACCAAAGGGGGUAUUAUAUUAGACUGUAUUUAAAAUGAGUGCUGUAGUUGUAGGGGGUUAGAGUAACCCUGGUCUAUACUGGUUGCAGUGUAGACCAUAAAUCCUGUUUCUGUAUGCAAGUGUUAAUUUGUCUGAAAAGUUUAGUUUUAAUCAGUUGUUUUGUUUUGAAGAGAAAGGAUAUGACACUAUGACUGAUGGUCUUGUACGUCAUUAAGUGUUACCACGGUUACGUUGAGUCGGUUUGUUAUAUAUUAUAUUUGGGUUUGACUCUUUUUCUUAUGGGUUUAUAUAGACUUAAAUUCUGCUUUUGACGCACAUAGAAUACGAAAGGUCAUAUAUAAUAAAGAUCAGCUUCUUAAACCAAUAAUAGAGACUUUUAUUAGAGUAAUUGUGUUAGUCUAAUCAGAGUUUGCAUUGCUGUAAAAAAAAAAAAAAACCUCUCUGUAUGAAGAGUCCACAGAAGCAGCACUGUAACCUGAGUCAUCUCAUCUCUCAUUUAUUGAUAAAGCUCCUCCAUCAUAUCAGACCUGUAAUCAGAGCUCUUCAGAAUACAUUUGUUUAUAAUCACACAUGAUGUGGGCACUUGAAAGUAAAUUAACCCCGAAACUGCCCACUCAGGUCAAAAAAGGGGGCUUGAGAAAUCAAGCAAAUAUACAGUAGCUUUUACAAUCAACCACAUUUAUUUAUAGGAAAAGAUUGCCUUUUCCUCCAUGACGCAAGUUCUUUACAGAUUGGCCAUUGGAAAAGCUUGAACAGAUUUAAAAACGUACGCAUUUACCAGUUGUUCGGUGAAGGUCAUGAUGAUGUUUAUUUUUAUUUGAAUGGUUAGGAUCCUUUAAUCCCAUUGCACUUUAACUGAAUAUUGUCUUUUCCCUUGUUGUAGGUCUGUACAGUCGCCAACCACAGGCACUUUUCAUAUGUGGCGAAAGAAAUGGACUAAAAUGAACUUUCCCAGACCCGUUUUGUGGCGCCAGACUUCUGAUCCAUACUUUUGCAUCAAGUCUAUGCUGACGACACCCAUUUUUGUAUGAGUGUGUAUGCGGUUUCUGGGGCUUUUGGAGCUAGCCUCAAGUGGACACUCUUGGAACUGCAGUUUGUUGCACACUUUAAAAACCUUAAGUUGCCCCCUGGGAAAAAGAGAAAUCUUAGUUUGAUUAUCUACUCCCAAUCAGUUGAACAAAUUUCUGUCAUUUUUUUUAUAGUUUGGGCGGGUCACAGUGAAAUCAGGGCCCUGAGCCGAUUCAGAGCAAACUCCAGAAAGUAGUUUUCUUGUUUGCACCUGUUCAGAAUGGUAGACACCUGGACAACUUGACAUAUUUUCUUUUCAUUGCUGAGGUCAAGAUCUGUUCAUAGGAGUUUUCAAAGGAAACUUACUUAAUAACCGGUGCUCUAUCCAGAUUUCAUACUUAGAGUGUGAGCCCUGACAUUGUGCUUUCUAGUCAGACUAUACAAUGUGAGAACAUAAUGUGGUGUUUCCCGGUGAACAAAUCCACUGUUUAUGUAAGCUGAAACUCCACCAUGACAUCUCAGUGUUCUUAUAUGUAAGCCAAGGAGGUUUCAGCAUUCAGGUGGUUUCUACCUAUUUCGAGACGUCUUGUUUUCUUCCACUUUAUUAUUUUAUUAAUUCGUUGGACAUACUGGACAAUUGUGUCAUUUCUAACCUAGUUUUUUCCCCUUUUUCACAAGAUUUCUGGCAUCACAAUCUGCGUUUGGGUCAUCUAUACUGCCUUCCUGUUCCAUCACAAUACUUGAUGUGAUAUCUGUCAGAUAAAUUCAUGUCUUUUGAUUUUCCGCCUUUUUAAUUGUGACUAACCGACAUAAAGCAAUAGCCGUUUUAGCGCCUAAUGCCACAAUAAAUAAUCGGCAUGUAAAUUUGUUUUGGUCCAGCAAAUGUUUGGACUCUUCUCGGCUUCCAAAUGUUGUUAAAUAAAUCCCAUUCUGAUCCCGGUGCUGACUUCCUGUUUACAUUUCUGAUCGGACUCCAAAUGAGGACAAAAGUGUGAAAGCAGAUCUGCUCGAAUUGACACUCACAUACACACACAGAGGGAGAAGGAGAGAGAGAAGGAGAUCAGAGUCCAUUAGGAGCUAUCAUGUGUCCAACUUGAAGGCCACUGUACCAGCAUGAGGAGCAUGCCUGUGCAUGCUGUCUGUGUAAUUAUUGAAAAAGAACGUGCAUAUAUGCCUCAUUAGCCGAACAGUAGGAAUGUCCGUGCUGACCACUGAGCGCUAACACUCCCAGCAGCCGCCAGGAUUGGCUUCACACUGAGUCAGAAUGGGCGCCGGUUACACAGCCGGGAUGUAAACAAAAACAGAGAAAAUGGGCUGGACAGGCCAUGUGUGUGAUGUUGGUGUGCAUCCGCUUUACUUUAACUCAUCUGGUGUUAUGAAAUACUGCUGUAGUGAUUUGAGCAGCAGCACCAGCAGGGCUGUCAUGAGGAGGAUUGAAUGUGGAUGAAAAACGUGGCGUCACGACUUGAACAGGGUUACUGUAAGAUGGUUAAAAACCUCUUUUUUUCUAUACAGAGGUCUUUGUACUUCAUACCUUUUUAUAAUGACUCUACUUGGACUGCAUUCUCAUGGGUAUAUGACUUAAUUCUGGUAACAUCAAAACUUCAUUUUCAAACUCAAACAGUUUAGCGGCGCUACAACACACAGCAGGUCCCAUUUGACAAGAAACACUUCUGUUACAGACACUUGGCUUACUUUGUUAAAGCGGUUUACC
rnacentral:lncRNA from 1 species